GUGGGGUUGUGGCUCAGUGGUAGAGCACUCACCUCACACAUGCAAGGCCCUGGGUUCGAUCCUCAGCACCACA
rnacentral:tRNA from 1 species